UCUAGAAAACCACUUAGCGGCGCAGAUGCAAGUGCGGAGCAAGAUAGUUCGUCGCACUUAAGGGGGAUUUUGACCCCCUCGGUGUGGAGCACUCAAUUGGUCAGACACAACAUUGGAAACCCCCCAAUCGCCAUUGCGUUAUAUUAUAUUUGAAAAAAAUAGUAGCUGGAACUGACACAAACAUCGUGAAGGAUACAGUGAACAGUGGCAGCUACAUCAACACGGCAGUAAGAUGAACUUUAAGGCUUUGGACAAUGUGCCCCUCCUCAUGUACAUCCUGGCAGCUAAAACAAUACUCCUGUGUCUGGCCUUCGCUGCGGCAAAGAUGUACCAGCAGAGGAGACUCGAGGCGGCCAUGAAGAAGGAAAACGAGGAAAAGCGCAAACUGGCAUAUCAGACACAAGAUCUCCUUGAUAACAAAAAGAAUGACUGAUACAGAACUGGCUAGACAGAUGUGAGUGAGAUGGAGGACAUUUGUCAACGACCUAUGCACCCUGGAAGAGCAAUGGGCUUAAAUCAACAGACAUUUAAUUUAGCCACGAGGAUGGACGGUCCACCCUAGAGCACGGGUGGAGGUCUGACUGAAGAGACGGUUGAGGAUGUUGCCCUGGCAACAGCCAAUCAGAUAACCAUUGUACCAACUAUUCUGUGUGCCAGGAGAGCUCAGAGUGCCAACACAGAAGACCGAUGUUUUUUUAUACAAUAAUAAUAAUAAUGGUAAUUUAUUAUUGCUCACAUUUGUAAAUAAAGCGCUCUUUUUUUCUA